rnacentral:rRNA from 1 species
GAUGAACGCUAGCGGCAGGCUUAAUACAUGCAAGUCGAGGGGCAGCAUGACUGUAGCAAUACAGUUGAUGGCGACCGGCAAACGGGUGCGGAACACGUACAGAACCUUCCUUCGAGCGGGGAAUAGCCCAGAGAAAUUUGGAUUAAUACCCCAUAGUAUAUUAGAGUGGCAUCACUUUGAUAUUAAAGAUUUAUCACUUGAAGAUGGCUGUGCGGCUGAUUAGGUAGUUGGCGGGGUAACGGCCCACCAAGCCUUCGAUCAGUAACUGGUGUGAGAGCACGACCAGUCACACGGGCACUGAGACACGGGCCCGACUCCUACGGGAGGCAGCAGUAAGGAAUAUUGGUCAAUGGACGAAAGUCUGAACCAGCCAUGCCGCGUGGAGGAUGCAGGUCCUCUGGAUUGUAAACUUCUUUUANAUGGGACGAAAAAAAGGGUUUUCUAACUCGUCUGACGGUACCAUAUGAAUAAGCACGGCUAACUCCGUGCCAGCAG